AUGAUUAAUUUUCAGGAUGCACUUGAAGCUUGUGGACUCACUGAUCUUGGUUUUUCAGGACACCCAUUCACAUAUGAUAAUAGGCGGAGUGGCCGGGCGAACGUCCAAGUUUGUCUGGAUAGAGCGGUGGCGUCCAAUGACUGGAGAGACAUGUUUAUGCAAGCUUCGGUGGCACACCUUGUGUCGCCGGUGUCGGAUCAUAGUCCGCUGCUCCUCAAGUUCUCGCUGGAACAGGACAGGCAGCCUCGCAGCAGCCGCCGGUACGAGUUGAUGUGGGAGAGAUCGCCGGCGUUAGAGGCCAUUAUCGCAAACUCUUGGUCAAGCAAAGGUACGAAGAGGAACCUGGGAGAUGUACGGGAGGCCCUUGCUACUGUUAUGGCUGAUCUACACACUUGGAGUAAUAAAACUUUCGGCAAUGUUACACGGGAGCUAGAAAAGUCACGUACUAGGCUUGAGGAACUAACCAAUAUGAAUGCAGACCGAGCUGAAAUAAGACUGGAGAUGGACAAGAUGAAUGAGCUGUUAUACAGGGAGGAAAUGUUG
rnacentral:rRNA from 1 species